rnacentral:misc_RNA from 1 species
UCUCCGUUGGUGAACCAGCGGAGGGAUCAUUACAGAGUUGCAAAACUCCCAAACCAUUGUGAACGUUACCUAUCCCGUUGCUUCGGCGGGCGGCCCGGGCCCCGCGCCCGGCGCCCCCCGGCCCCCCGUGGGCGCCCGCCGGAGGUAAACCAAACCCUUGCAUUGCAUGGCCUCUCUGAGUCUUCUGUACUGAAUAAGUCAAAACUUUCAACAACGGAUCUCUUGGUUCUG